rnacentral:rRNA from 1 species
UACGUAGGGGGCAAGCGUUGUCCGGAAUUAUUGGGCGUAAAGAGCGUGUAGGCGGUCCGGUAAGUCAGCUGUGAAAGUCAAGGGCUCAACCCUUGAAAGCCGGUUGAUACUGUCGGGCUAGAGUCCGGAAGAGGCGAGUGGAAUUCCCGGUGUAGCGGUGGAAUGCGUAGAGAUCGGGAAGAACAUCAGUGGCGAAGGCGGCCUGCUGGGCUGUUGCUGACGCUGAGGCGCGACAGCGUGGGGAGCAAACAGG